AUGGUAUUAUGUGGUCACAAUGGUCAUAUUAUCUUCUUGGCGUACCGCGUGAUCUUCUAUUGCAAUGACCCUUUGGAAGCUGAACUACAUGCGAUCAUGCAAGGGAUGGCAUUGGCUAUCCAACAUUCCUCGCUCCCGGUUAUUGUACAGUCGGACUCAUCGGAGGCGCUCUCGUCUUUACGGAAUCAGGGUCUUGAGCGCUUUGCUUAUGGUCAUAUAGUUAGAGAGAUCAAAGAGUUGUUAGUCGGUAGGGAGUUUUAUCCUCAAAGAAUUCACCGUAGUCAAAACUAUGUUGCAGAUCGUUUGGCCAAUUAUAGCCGCACCGAGAGCACAACUGCGGUGUGGUUGACCUCGGCUCCACCAUGUAUCGAGGACCUAUGGCCUCUGGAUUGUAACACUUCUUUUGAGUAA
rnacentral:rRNA from 1 species